rnacentral:tRNA from 1 species
AUUUUAAUAGUUUAUUAAAACAUUGAUUUUGUAAUUCAAAGAUGCAGACGACUGCUUAUUAUA